rnacentral:rRNA from 1 species
CAAUAGCGUAUAUUAAAGUUGUUGCAGUUAAAAAGCUCGUAGUUGGAUUUCUGCUGAGGACGAUCGGUCCGCCCACUGGGUGAGUAUCUGGCUCGGCCUUGGCAUCUUCUUGGAGAACGUUGCUGCACUUGACUGUGUGGCGCGGUAUCCAGGACUUUUACUUUGAGGAAAUUAGAGUGUUUCAAGCAGGCGCACGCCUUGAAUACAUUAGCAUGGAAUAAUGAGAUAGGACCUUGGUUCUAUUUUGUUGGUUUCUAGAGCUGAGGUAAUGAUUAAUAGGGGUAGUUGGGGGCAUUCGUAUUUAACUGUCAGAGGUGAAAUUCUUGGAUUUGUUAAAGGUGGACUACUGCGAAAGCAUUUGCCAAGGAUGUUUUCAUUGA